UUGGCUGAACCUUUAUUUAAUAAAACUAUUCCAAAUUGCUCCAGAGUGUCAGCUGGCCAAAAAGUCCUUUCCAUAACGCAGAGAGAGGUCCCGAGCAAACUCUCCUUUGAUGAUGGAGAGGCACUUGCGGUAUUGGGCACUGGAGCGGAAUCUGGCAAUGUCGAAGGACGGCGCAUGAGGCAUGUGUACCAUGAACGCAUUUGGGAGAACAACAAACUCGUAGCCUUGGGCAUGAAGCUCCAUUAUGUGAGAAACCUGCAAACAAGUAAAUCAUUCCCUUUCUGUGAAUCAAAUCAACAUCAUCCAAUGGAAUCCUCAAAGUUAGAUGGCGAGUUACCAAGUCGCUUCUUUUUGUCCCUGUAUUCUUGCAACCCAAUUUUCAUUAAUCUUUUCAGCGAGUGGUCAUCCUGUCUACUUCUCUGUCCUUGUCACAUUAAACGUUUAGCAACUAACAACCGUCAAGUUAGGAAGCAGUUUUCACAAAAGAAGUGGCUUUCAAGUUAAACACAUUGGUGUUGCACUGAAGAAAUGUCCCUCUUUGGAACUAAAGUCAAAGUUCCAACGGAGAGGUUCUGCGUUUACAAGUUUCCACACGGGGAAUACAUUAAGGGAGACGUGGUGGUGCACGACGAGUACUUUUGGAUGUUGGGAACUGUUAAUCUUGAGAGCAUAUCUUGUCAAGAUUGUCUACAUCAGGGAGACUAGGAUGAAGAAAGAUAUCAAGACCUUGAUAAGCCAUCCAUUCUUGCACGAGAAACCAAGUGGGGUGCACGGAAUCCUGGUACAACCACCCUCUCCCCACCCCUCUAAUACAUAAAUAAGCUUCUUCCGAUGAUAGGACCCCAAAUGUCAAGUAUAAUGUUGUUUAAUGCGUUGCUUGCCGGUGCGCUCAAUUUAUUAAAUCUGUCUACUCCCGGGC